rnacentral:lncRNA from 1 species
CACUCCUCUUUCUUGGAUGGUUAUAAGGCUAAGAGAUGAAGGAGGAGAACUCUAACUUUUACAAUACUUUAAGGCUCAAGAACUCAAGAUUAUGCCAAUAGGUUCGUGCCCUUUCAUGCAGGAAAGGGUGGGGUUUUUAUAGGCCCCAAUGGCUUCAAAAAUGGAGCCAAAAAGUGUCUAAUCCCGGAUUUUCGAGGUCCU